UCUCCGUAGGUGAACCUGCGGAAGGAUCCUUAUUGUAUAACCGAGGUGCUAGGGCUGUCGCUGACCCGAAAGGUCGUGCACGCCCGAGUGCCCUCACACACAUCCAUCUCACCCCUAUGUGCACCACCGCGUGGGUCCCCCUUUGGCUUGUUCGGAGGGGGGCUUACGUUUUCACACAAACUUUGUAUGCAGUGUAGAAUGUAUUUUUUGUUUUUGCGAUCACGCAAUCAAUACAACUUUCAACAACGGAUCUCUUGGCUCUG
rnacentral:misc_RNA from 1 species